rnacentral:rRNA from 1 species
AUUGAACGCUGGCGGCAUGCCUUACACAUGCAAGUCGAACGGCAGCACGGGGGCAACCCUGGUGGCGAGUGGCGAACGGGUGAGUAAUACAUCGGAACGUGCCCCGUAGCGGGGGACAACCAGUCGAAAGACUGGCUAAUACCGCAUACGCUCCACGGAGGAAAGCAGGGGAUCGCAAGACCUUGCACUAUGGGAGCGGCCGAUGCCCGAUUAGCUAGUUGGUGAGGUAAAGGCUCACCAAGGCAACGAUCGGUAGCUGGUCUGAGAGGACGACCAGCCACACUGGGACUGAGACACGGCCCAGACUCCUACGGGAGGCAGCAGUGGGGAAUUUUGGACAAUGGGCGCAAGCCUGAUCCAGCCACGCCGCGUGCGGGAAGAAGGCCU